AACAAAAGAAUAAAUUUCUUUGCUUGUUUUUCUUCAGUUUGAACAGAAAAUCGUAAAAAAUAUCGAGUGCUGAUAUAGGACAAGAUGCCAGCAGUAUGCGGCGCCGCCAUCUUUCCGAAUCCAACAUGUUCUAAGCAAUCGUUGGAUACUCAAAUGCAUUUCAAUGUGGAUACUCAAAUGAUCUUGGCUGCUGUCAAAUCCAUUAGGUGGGAUUGGAGUUGCCAUAUACGUGACAAGAUGCAGAUACCAUCGAUGUUGGACAGUGGAUCCAUUUCAACGGUCGUAGUUACGAGUAUGGCCAGACGUGACAGCCGGCUCCUUGAGUUUUCAGCAGCGCAACCGAUCAAUUAUCAGUAAUAUAACCGGGACUAAGUUGACUAACAAAACCAGAACAGCCAAACCAGCAGGAUUAUUACCGGUGAGAACAUUUUCGGAAGCUGAUACUUCCGGAAGUUGCCGAACGUUACAACCUGGGAAAACAUUCAAUCAACGCCCACAGUGUUUAAGAAAAAAUGUUAAAUAGUUGGUAAGGAAAAGUAGUGAAUAAUAAAACUGAAAAUUGAA